rnacentral:rRNA from 1 species
GUCUACGGCCAUACCACCCUGAACGCGCCCGAUCUCAUCUGAUCUCGGAAGCUAAGCAGGGUCGGGCCUGGUUAGUACUUGGAUGGGAGAAGUUGGGGUUUAACUCC